UGGGGAAUAUUGGACAAUGGGCGCAAGCCUGAUCCAGCCAUGCCGCGUGGAUGAAGAAGGCCCUAGGGUUGUAAAGUCCUUUCGCUGGGGAAGAUAAUGACGGUACCCAGUAAAGAAGCCCCGGCUAAAUUCGUGCCAGCAGCCGCGGUAAUACGAAAGGGGCUAGCGUUGUUCGGAAUUACUGGGCGUAAAGCGCGCGUAGGCGGCAUGCCAAGUUGGGGGUGAAAUCCCGGGGCUCAACCCCGGAACUGCCUCCAAAACUGGUAAGCUAGAGGAUGUGAGAGGAUAGUGGAAUUCCGAGUGUAGAGGUGAAAUUCGUAGAUAUUCGGAAGAACACCGGUGGCGAAGGCGACUGUCUGGCACAUUUCUGACGCUGAGGUGCGAAAGCGUGGGGAGCAAACAGGAUUAGAUACCCCCGUAGUCC
rnacentral:rRNA from 1 species